rnacentral:rRNA from 1 species
UACGUAGGGGGCAAGCGUUGUCCGGUUUUAUUGGGCGUAAAGGGCGUGUAGGCGGUUGGGAAGGUCCGUUGUGAAAACUCGAGGCUCAACCUCGAGCUGUCGAUGGAAACCAUCUAGCUAGAGUCCGGAAGAGGAGAGUGGAAUUCCUGGUGUAGCGGUGAAAUGCGCAGAUAUCAGGAAGAACACCCGUGGCGAAGGCGGCUCUCUGGUACGUGACUGACGCUGAGACGCGAAAGCGUGGGGAGCGAACAGG